GUGAGGAAUAUUGGUCAAUGGACGAGAGUCUGAACCAGCCAAGUCGCUUGAAGGAAGACGGUUCUAUGAAUUGUAAACUUCUUUUGUGCAGGAAUAAAGUGGGUUACGUGUAACCUUUUGUAUGUACUGCACGAAUAAGGAUCGGCUAACUCCGUGCCAGCAGCCGCGGUAAUACGGAGGAUCCGAGCGUUAUCCGGAUUUAUUGGGUUUAAAGGGUGCGUAGGUGGAUUGAUAAGUCAGCGGUGAAAGUUUGCAGCUUAACUGUAAAAUUGCCGUUGAAACUGUCGGUCUUGAGUGCAAAUGAGGUAGGCGGAAUGUGUUGUGUAGCGGUGAAAUGCUUAGAUAUAACACAGAACUCCGAUUGCGAAGGCAGCUUACUGGGAUGCAACUGACACUGAUGCACGAAAGCGUGGGUAUCAAACAGGAUUAGAAACCCGUGUAGUCC
rnacentral:rRNA from 1 species